AGGGACUGGGAAUUACGAACUCCCAUUGCACCACCGGUGACCCCCUUUAAGGGUGGCUAAGGUGAUUUUCUUGCAGGUACUCAGCAUUUUGGAAGCUCAGUAUUUGUGUGGAGGGAUACACUUACAGAACUCGUGAGUGACACCCUUACCCAAAAACCGAGAGAAAAUUGAGUGUUGAGUGAUACACCUGCAGAACAUUUUAGUGAGACACCCACUAAUUACCAAAUUUAUACCUAAAGACAAAGUGGAUGUUGUUACUGGAAUGUCAGUUUUUAAUCCUUACUUUUCCGUUUGGAACCUAUUCUUUCAGCAUAGGCACCAACCCAAUCAAAGUAAACCCUUCUUCUGAACUCUUUCUUCGACCCCAGCUUUAGCGUUGUUUAGUUCUCUAUGGGGAUAUUAUCUUUUGGUACAGGAUGUAUUGGACACGUUCCUUGACCAUAUUUGAUACCACAUAUCCUCGGAGGAUUCCACAACUAAGGGGGAGAAUAUAUUUAGGGGGAGAAUUUAUGAAGGGGGGAAGAAAAAGUAAGUUAGCUUUCUUCUGCUGUCUACAACUAAGGGGGAUUAAACUACUCUUUAGCUGUGUACUACUGAGGGGGAGAUUCUUCUUUCAACUAAGGAGGAGGAUUGAUCUUUCAUCUAAGGGGAGACAACUACUUAUCACUAAGGGGAACCUGAUCAAGGUAACGGGAGGAGAAGUAUAAGGUGAUACAUUUAUUCUUCAGUAAGUGGUAGACAUGAACUCAUUCAUUACCACUGAAGAAUUCAAUGAAGCUGCUGAUUGUUCUUUGCAUAAUGGAAUGUUUUGAAUUCUCUUCAAGACAGACUAUGAGGAUUAUCUGGCAGGUAAGCAAGAACCAGAGAAAUAAAGGUGAUAUGCACAUUUGUUAUUUCUAUUCAUGAAAUCUGGAAAUGUAUUAUAUGAUCCAGAAACUUUGUAGCAUUAUUUACUAGUCCAGG
rnacentral:lncRNA from 1 species